AAUCUUGCGCAAUGUGCGCGAGCCUGACGCAGCGAUGCCGCGUGAUUGAUGAUGGUAUUAGGAUUGUAAAAUUCUUUCACCGGGGACGAUAAUGACGGUCGCCGGAGAAGAAGCCCUGGCUAACUUCGUGCCAGCAGCCGCGGUAAUACGAAGGGGGCUAGCGUUGCGCGGAAUUACUGGGCGUAAAGGGCGCGUAGGCGGACAUUUAAGUCAGGGGUGAAAUCCCAGAGCUCAACUCUGGAACUGCCUUUGAUACUGGGUGUCUUGAGUGUGAGAGAGGUAUGUGGAACUCCGAGUGUAGAGGUGAAAUUCGUAGAUAUUCGGAAGAACACCAGUGGCGAAGGCGACAUACUGGCUCAUUACUGACGCUGAGGCGCGAAAGCGUGGGGAGCAAACA
rnacentral:rRNA from 1 species